AUUGAACGCUGGCGGCAGGCCUAACACAUGCAAGUCGAGCGGAUGAAGGGUGCUUGCUCCUGGAUUCAGCGGCGGACGGGUGAGUAAUGCCUAGGAAUCUGCCUGGUAGUGGGGGAUAACGUCCGGAAACGGGCGCUAAUACCGCAUACGUCCUGAGGGAGAAAGUGGGGGAUCUUCGGACCUCACGCUAUUAGAUGAGCCUAGGUCGGAUUAGCUAGUUGGUGGGGUAAAGGCCUACCAAGGCGACGAUCCGUAACUGGUCUGAGAGGAUGAUCAGUCACACUGGAACUGAGACACGGUCCAGACUCCUACGGGAGGCAGCAGUGGGGAAUAUUGGACAAUGGGCGAAAGCCUGAUCCAGCCAUGCCGCGUGUGUGAAGAAGGUCUUCGGAUUGUAAAGCACUUUAAUUGGGGAAGAAAAGCAGUAAGUUAAUACCUUGCUGUUUUGACGUUACCAACAGAAUAAGCACCGGCUAACUUCGUG
rnacentral:rRNA from 1 species